GUAUUAAAUUUUGCCUUGCGGCAGAUAAAGCAUCCAUUACAUUGAAUAAGAGUUUAUUUAGCUUCAGAGGCAGACUUUUACUCUGCCUUCAAAAUUUAAGUGCACAUGUGUAAGUGGAUUAAAGAGAGUGAGCACAUGCAGCCAUAUAGACUGCCAGCAUCAACCCUCCAGUAAUUCGAUAAUGAUCCUUCCGCAGGUUCACCUACGGAAA
rnacentral:misc_RNA from 1 species